GCCUGGGUGGCUCAGUCGGUUAAGCGACUGACUUUGACUCAGUUCAUGAUCUCAGGGUCAGGUCCGUGAGUUCGAGCCCCGCCUCGGGCU